AUUGAACGCUGGCGGCAUGCCUUACACAUGCAAGUCGAACGGCAGCAUGAUCUAGCUUGCUAGAUUGAUGGCGAGUGGCGAACGGGUGAGUAAUACAUCGGAACGUGCCCUGUAGUGGGGGAUAACUAGUCGAAAGAUUAGCUAAUACCGCAUACGACCUGAGGGUGAAAGUGGGGGACCGCAAGGCCUCGUGCUAUAGGAGCGGCCGAUGUCUGAUUAGCUAGUUGGUGAGGUAAAGGCUCACCAAGGCGACGAUCAGUAGCUGGUCUGAGAGGACGAUCAGCCACACUGGGACUGAGACACGGCCCAGACUCCUACGGGAGGCAGCAGUGGGGAAUUUUGGACAAUGGGCGAAAGCCUGAUCCAGCAAUGCCGCGUGUGUGAAGAAGGCCUUCGGGUUGUAAAGCACUUUUGUCCGGAAAGAAAUGGCUCUGGUUAAUACCUGGGGUCGAUGACGGUACCGGAAGAAUAAGAACCGGCUAACUACGUG
rnacentral:rRNA from 1 species